GAGAGGGCUCGGGAACCGGAAGGCUACUUCAACCAUCGCGAACUCGUCCAAGUUGCUUCGGCGGCGCGGCACCCCUUAACGGGGGCGCCGCAGCCCUGCCUCUCCGGAGGUUCGGGGCGCCCGCCGGAGGUACGAAACUCUGUAUUAUAGUGGCAUCUCUGAGUAUAAAACAAAUAAGUUAAAACUUUCAACAACGGAUCUCUUGGUUCUGGCAUCGAUGAAGAACGCAGCGAAAUGCGAUAAGUAAUGUGAAUUGCAGAAUUCAGUGAAUCAUCGAAUCUUUGAACGCACAUUGCGCCCGGUAGUACUCUACCGGGCAUGCCUGUUCGAGCGUCAUUUCAACCCUCAAGCCCUGCUUGGUGUUGGGGCCCUACGGCUGCCGUAGGCCCUGAAAGGAAGUGGCGGGCUCGCUACAACUCCGAGCGUAGUAAUUCAUUAUCUCGCUAGGGAGGUUGCGGCGUGCUCCUGCCGUUAAAGACCCAUCUUUAACCAAGGUUGACCUCGGAUCAGGUAGGAAUACCCGCUGAACUUAAGCAUAUCAAAAGGCGGAGGAA
rnacentral:rRNA from 1 species